rnacentral:tRNA from 1 species
GCGAAUGUAGUUCAAUGGUAGAACACUAGCCUUCCAAGCUAGGUACGCGGGUUCGAUUCCCGUCAUUCGCU